UCAUCAAUGUGCCUGUUCUCGGAAAGCCAGUUCUAGGAGCCAGGAGGCCGCAGCGCUAAGCCUGCUGUCAGUGGACCAGCCGCCUUCUUCUUCCCCACUUUUGUCUCAGACCCACUGGCAAGAUCCUCUGCUGUGAUGUGAGAAGGGGCAAAGGGGGCCCUGUUCUCUCAAGGGAAUGUGGUCUGCUGGUACAGAUUCCAGGAACACUUGUCCGGCCCCUGAAUGGGGCUCCUAAGCCUGGGUGCUGAAUCAUCUUUCCUUGGAGAUUCCAUCAUGUCCAGCAACCUCUGAAAAAGGCCCACCUAUGACUGCAUGAGGCUUUGGGGGACAUCUAGAUGCAGCAAUAACACCUGGGAUCCUUUAGGAGAUGGGAAAAGGAAGAGCAGUUUGAAAAUUUCAACAGAGGAAGCAAAAAUCUCAACUGAGUCUAGAGAUAUUACCAGGGAUUGGAAGAAAAGAAGG
rnacentral:lncRNA from 1 species